rnacentral:lncRNA from 13 species
GUUCUGACAUUAGUUAUUUUAUUAUGUCUUUGUUUUAGUAUGGUCAGGGCGUGAGUUGGGUGGGUUGUCUAUGUUAGUUUUUCUAUGAUUUGCUAUUUCUGUGUUUGGCCUGGUAUGGUUCUCAAUCAGAGGCAGCUGUCAAUCGUUGUCCCUGAUUGAGAACCAUAUUUAGGUAGCCUGUUUUCUUUUGGAUUGCGUGGGUGAUUGUUUUCAGUCUUUGUGUGGCUGCACCAGAAAUAACUGUUUUUAUUGUUGUUUUGUUAUUCAGUGUUCAGUUUUGAUUAUUAUUAAAAAUCAUCACUUACCACGCUGCACCUUGGUUCUCACCUUCUUCCACCGACGACAGCCGUUACAAUAUGAAUGCAGUUGGAGUACUAAUGCACAUGUUUUGGGAAUAUCCUGUGGGGUCCCAGUUCUGGUCACAUGUAUUGGGAAUGUCCUGUGGUGUCCCAGUUCUGGUAACAUGUUUUGGGAAUGUCCUGUGGUGUCCCAGUUCUGGUCACAUGUUUUGGGAAUGUCCUGUGGUGUCCCAGUUCUGGUCACAUGUUUUGGGAAUGUCCUGUGGUGUCCCAGUUCUGGUAACAUGUUUUGGGAAUGUUCUGUGGUGUCCCAGUUCUGGUCACAUGUUUUGGGAAUGUCCUGUUGUGUCCCAGUUCUGGUCACAUGUUUUGGGAAUGUCCUGUGGUGUCCCAGUUCUGGUCACAUGUUUCGGGAAUGUCCUGUGGGGUCCCAGUUCUGGUCACAUGUUUUGGGAAUGUCCUGUGGUGUCCCAGUUCUGGUCACAUGUUUUGGGAAUAUCCUGUGGUGUCCCAGUUCUGGUCAUGUUUUCUAUCCUAAUCUGUCAAUUAUAUGCAUAUUCUAGUAUAUGGGCCUGAGAAAUAGGCCGUUUACAUUGGGAACGUUAUUUUUCCAAACAUAAAAAUAGUGCCCCCUAGCUAAAAGAGGUUAAAGAACACCCUCUGUGUUUUGUUAGACAGAUAACUCUUUAUCCACAAUAUAGCAGUAAAGUGUAAAGCCAUAACACAUGUUUUUCCAGCAGCAGACUGUGAUUGAUAAUGUCAAAAGUAGCACUGAAGUCUAACAAACAGCCCCCAAAAUCUUUUUAUCGUCAAUUUCUUUCAGCCAAUCAUCAGUCAUUUGUGUAAAUGCUGUGCUUGGUGUGGAUUAAUUGGCAUAAUUUUAUGCACUCUUAUGCACGGCACAACGCAGUGCCUGGAUACAGUCCUUAGCAGUGGUAUACUGGCCAUAUACCACAAACCCCCAAGAUGCCUUAUUGCUAUUAAAAACUGGUUUCCAACGUAAUAACAGUAAUCAAGUAGUAUUGACUAUUCUGUGCCUACUAUAUUGAUUACUCAGUGCCUGCUCCUACGAUUUUGAAGUUGUCAACCUCCCCGUCCU